AGGUUUUGGAUGUUUUGCUUGGACACCAUUGUACACUGUUUAGACGAGCACAAUUGAAAGCCCUUGUUUCAAUCCAUAGCGAAGAGGCUGGUAAAGGAGGUGAACUCACACAUGAUGAGGCGACGAUUAUCAGUGGAGCAUUAGAUCUCACUCUAAAGACUGCAGAGGAGGCUAUGACACCAAUCGAGUCAACUUUUUCCAUGGAUGUUGCGUCAAAAUU